rnacentral:rRNA from 1 species
CCAGACUCCUACGGGAGGCAGCAGUGGGGAAUAUUGCACAAUGGGGGGAACCCUGAUGCAGCGACGCCGCGUGAAGGAAGAAGUAUCUCGGUAUGUAAACUUCUAUCAGCAGGGAAGAAAGAGGACGGUACCUGACUAAGAAGCCCCGGCUAACUACGUGCCAGCAGCCGCGGUAAUACGUAGGGGGCGAGCGUUAUCCGGAUUUACUGGGUGUAAAGGGAGCGUAGACGGCAGUGCAAGUCUGGAGUGAAAGCCCGGGGCCCAACCCCGGAACUGCUCUGGAAACUGUGCGGCUAGAGUACUGGAGGGGCAGGCGGAAUUCCUAGUGUAGCGGUGAAAUGCGUAGAUAUUAGGAGGAACACCAGUGGCGAAGGCGGCCUGCUGGACAGUAACUGACGUUGAGGCUCGAAAGCGUGGGGAGCAAACAGGAUUAGAUACCCGGGUAAAA